GGUCUCAUGGUGUAACGGUUAGCACUCGGGUCUCUGAAUCCAGUGAUCCGAGUUCAAAUCUCGGUGAGACCU
rnacentral:tRNA from 1 species